CUCCAUGUCCUACCAUUGGUUUGCAUCUUAUGUUGUAGUGCAUUGCUUCUUGCUGUUAUCCUUUAAACUGUCACCCACAAACCUUUAGCACACUUGUAAAAUUUACCAGGAAAGGUUAAAAGAUCUUAACAUGUAUAGCUUCAAGGAAUGACGAAACGGAUAUGAUAGAAAUAUUUAAAUACAUAAAGGGAAUCAACACAGUAAGGAGGAGACUAUAUUUAAAAUAAGGAGAACUACCACAACAAGAGGACAUAGUCUUAAAUUAGAGGGGCAAAGUUUUAAAAAUAAUAUCAGGAUUCAGGAAGUAUUAUCAGGAAUAGCCUUCCAGCUGAAGUGGUAGAAGUUAACACAGUGAAGGCGUUUAAG